rnacentral:ncRNA from 1 species
UUGAAUCUCGGAAAGAUUUAAAAAUUGCCCUGGUCGGGAUGGGUUAUUGACCCCUCGGGUUUCCUGUUUCCUAAAAACAGGUGGUGGAGUCACUUA